rnacentral:tRNA from 1 species
GGGCCGUUAGCUCAAUUGGCAGAGCAGUAGACUCUUAAUCUAUUGGUUGUAGGUUCGAUUCCUACACGGCCCACCA